rnacentral:lncRNA from 1 species
GAGGUUCGAGUCCUCUUCAAGGCAUAAUAUGGAGAAUGCUCAUUCAAUGAGCAUUCCCCGUAGAAGUAUUCCGGAAAUCUGGGCCUGGCGCUCUCCUCUAUCUUCUGAGGUCCUUAACCAUCUCCCUGAGAAAAGUAGACAGUAAAAGCCAAAAUAGACUAAAUAUAUAUAGCCUGAACGAUCCUAAAAAUCCCUCGAAGGAGAUAAUAAAGAACCAAAGCAGAUGGUAUCCUACUGCAAGGGUGGUCUUAAGAAUCCAAAAGAGGUUGCUCAGAAGAGAUAGAUGUAUCCCAACCUCUAUUGCUCUCGCGUAAAGACUUUUUUUUACGCGACGGGAAAAAGUGACUAGGAAUUCCCCUUUUUGUUUGCGAAUCCCUGUUUGUAUCCUUUGAGCGCACGCCCAUUAAGUAGCAAUCAAAUCAAGGAAAUCGAUCAAACGAUCCCAAUACCGUGCCGGCCCAGACAGACUUACCAACUGAUGAGCCAAAGUAGCAAAUUUCUUCUUCCUAGGAGGGGCGGACUCUACGUUGGUAGAUCGAACUUUCAUUUCUUCCUUCCAUUUCAUCUGUUCAAGUAGUUUCCUUUUCAAGAAGAUACGCUUUGAUACCAGACUGGUGUGCAUUCUAUGCUUACCCAGCGAGCGAAGGAGCGAGCCAAUUCCUCUGUUCCGGUAGAGCCAAUUCCUUUGAAGAAUUGUUUACUUUCUUGUCUUUCCUCCAGUGAACAGAGUGGAAGACCAGGUAUCUUCGUAGUUGGCUCUGGAAUGAUUGCUUGCAGGAUUUCAUAUUUUCCAGUGAUCAGCUUAGUUGGAAGAGAUAGAUAGGAGAAGCGAAUGCCAGAUGCGCGGUGUGCCAAUCAAUCCAAUUUCGUGAGAUCGAGUCAAGAUAAGAAGGCAAAAUUCUUUGGAGUAAAGUCGCUUGGAAGAAAGAAUAGGAAUUGAUCUAGCUAUAGUAUAGAUAGAGUGUCAGAUGAAAUGCUUGACAAGGCAAGGAAACAGAACUUCCACAUCCUCUGUUCACACUACCUGGAUUGGAAUUGGUUCUAUCGAGAUAUGCUGACUUGAAACAGGAAUUUCUUGGUAACUGCUGCUUCUUUGAAGCAAGUGCUUUCGGGUUGGCUCUUCUGAUAUGUGUAUUUGCUACCCAUACGGAACAAUUUCAUUGAUGAAAGAUGGAUGGCUAUUCUCCACAUUUGCCAGCACAGUGCACUUUUUCUUCUAUUUCGUGAUUCCUUUCUUUCUGUCGCCAUUUGAAAAUGGAUUUCUCCUCCUAGUUUUAGUCACACACGUCUUUUCCACCUAGGAAGGAUGCCCCUACGAUCAUUCCAUGCUCUGCCUUCGCCCGAGCGGUCCCCAGGGAAGGAAGCCAAUAAUGGGAGUGUCAGGGCGGAACUUCAUUAAUGAAAGGAUUUGCACUGCCCCACCGUGCCGCAGGGACGAACUUCAAUAGCCCAUCAUAGCACUCUCAGUCAGGGGGUUAGGGAACUCUUGAAGAUAUCGAUAGAAUAACAUUUCUUUUUCAUAAGUUUCAGUGGACGCAGAGCCAACAAGUGCAGUUUUUCAGCGUAAGGUCAGGUUACAGAAAGGCCUAUUUUGAUAAGCAAGGCAUUGCAAACAAAUAGGUAGAGCAGAGAGCUAACCUAAGGAGCGAGCUUGUUGUAGUUGGUCUAAAGGGGGAAAUAAAGGACUGUCCCGCUACUACUUCCUUGAUUCCCGGGAAAGAAGGAAGACCGAGGUAACUAACUCUUCCUUCUGAAAAAUCUAUAUCCCAGCUCGUUUUCAUCGAGCCUUCCCCCCGUUUGGAGUAUAGCCAAGUGGUAAGGCAUCGGUUUUUGGUACCGGCAUGCAAAGGUUCGAAUCCUUUUACUCCAGAGCAUACUUAUUCUAGAAAAUAGAAAAAGAAAAAGAAAGUCUCAUCCCUACCCUAAUAAAUAAAUGAAAGUAGAUUUACAUUAUUUUUGUAUUUCUAGGGGGAAUGUUGAGGCAAACUUACGAUGCUGACAAGCUGGUUAGGUGCCGAGUUGGAUUAGACAUCGCAGGUUUCAGUUUAAGAAUUGGGAAGAGGUUAAGAACCUAGUGGAAUCCACUGCGAGGGGAAGUGCUGAAGUGAAGAAAAGCCCCAAUUUUGGAGAGGAUUGCAUAAUUGGAGAUUAGAAUUGGAGCAAAGCCGUGAUCUGGUAGGCGACUGGUACAAGUGUUGGGGAACGUAGCAGAAAUUCAAAAAUUUUCCUACGUAACACCAAGAUCUAUCUAUGGAGAGACCAGCAACGAGUAGAAAGGAGAGGAGAGUUUGCAUCUACAUACCCUUGUAGAUCGCUAAGCGGAAGCGUUCAAGUGAACGGGGUUGAUGGAGUCGUACUCGUCGUGAUUCAGAUCACCGAUGAUCAAGUGCCGAACGGACGGCACCUCCGCGUUCAACACACGUACAGCCCGGUGACGUCUCCCACGCCUUGAUCCAGCAAGGAGAGAGGGAGAGGUUGAGGAAGACUCCAUCCAGCAGCAGCACAACGGCGUGGUGGUGAUGGAGGAGCGUGGCAAUCCUGCAGGGCUUCGCCAAGCACCUACGGGAGAGGAGAUGUGUCACGGGAGGGAGAGGGAGGCAACCAAAGGCCUUAGGUCUGAUUGCUCCUCCUUUUCCCCACUAUAUAUAGGGCCAAGGGAGAGGGGGAGGGCGCAGCCUUUCCCCCUCCUCCAAGGAAGGGGUGCGGCUAAGGAUGGGGAGGAGUCCAUCCUCCCCAAGGCACCUCGGAGGUGCCUUCCCCCUUUAGGACUCUUCCCUCUCCAAGUUUCCUUGCGCAUGGGCCUCUUGGGGCUGGUGCCCUUGGCCCAUGUAGGCCAAGGCGCACCCCCUACAGCCCAUGUGGCCCCCCGGAGCAGGUGGCCCCACCCGGUGGGCCCCUGGGACCCUUCCGGUGGUCCCGGUACAAUACCGAUGACCCCGAAAUUUGUCCCGAUGGCCGAAACAGGACUUCCUAUAUAUAUAUCUUUACCUCCGGACCAUUCUGGAACUCCUCGUGACGUCCGGGAUCUCAUCCGGGACUCCGAACAACAUUCGGUAACCACAUACAAGCUUCCUUUAUAACCCUAGCGUCAUCGAACCUUAAGUGUGUAGACCCUACGGGUUCGGGAGACAUGCAGACAUGACCGAGACGUUCUCCGGUCAAUAACCAACAGCGGGAUCUGGAUACCCAUGUUGGCUCCCACAUGUUCCACGAUGAUCUCAUCGGAUGAACCACGAUGUCAAGGACUUAAUCAAUCCCGUAUUCAAUUCCCUUUGUCUAUCGGUAUGUUACUUGCCCGAGAUUCGAUCGUCGGUAUCCAAUACCUUGUUCAAUCUCGUUACCGGCAAGUCACUUUACUCGUUCCGUAACACAUCAUCCCGUGAUCAACUCCUUGGUCACAUUGCGCAUAUGAUGAUGUCCUACCGAGUGGGCCCAGAGAUACCUCUCCGUUUACACGGAGUGACAAAUCCCAGUCUCGAUUCGUGCCAACCCAACAGACACUUUCGGAGAUACCUGUAAUGCACCUUUAUAGCCACCCAGUUACGUUGUGACGUUUGGUACACCCAAAGCAUUCCUACGGUAUCCGGGAGUUGCACAAUCUCAUGGUCUAAGGAAAAGAUACUUGACAUUGGCAAAGCUCUAGCAAAUAAACUACACGAUCUUUUGUGCUAGGCUUAGGAUUGGGUCUUGUCCAUCACAUCAUUCUCCUAAUGAUGUGAUCCUGUUAUCAACGAAAUCCAAUGUCCAUAGCCAGGAAACCAUGACUAUCUGUUGAUCACAACGAGCUAGUCAACUAGAGGCUCACUAGGGACAUAUUGUGGUCUAUGUAUUCACACGUGUAUUAUGAUUUCCGGAUAAUACAGUUAUAGCAUGAAUAAAAGACAAUUAUCAUGAACAAGGAAAUAUAAUAAUAAUACUUUUAUUAUUGCCUCUAGGGCAUAUUUCCAACAGUCUCCCACUUGCACUAGAGUCAAUAAUCUAGUUCACAUCGCCAUGUGAUUAACACUCACAGGUCACAUCGCCAUGUGACUAAUACCCAAGAGUUUACUAGAAUCAGUAGUCUAGUUCACAUCACUAUGUGAUUAACACUCAAUGAGUUUUAUGUUUGAUCAUGUUGCUUGUGAGAGAGGUUUUAGUCAACAGGUCUGAACCUUUCAGAUCCGUGUGUUCUUUACAAAUCUCUAUGUCAUCUCCUAGAUGCAGCUACCACGCUCUAUUUGGAGCUAUUCCAAACAACUGUUCUACUUGGAGUUAUUCUAAAUUAUUGCUCCAUUAUAUGUAUCCGGUCUCUCUACUCAGAGCUAUCCGGAUAGGUGUCAAGCUUGCAUCGUCGUAACCUUUACGACGAACUCUUUUACCACCUCCAUAAUCGAGAAAAAAUCCUUAGUCCACUAGUUACUAAGGAUAACUUUGACCGCUGUCCUGUGAGUCAUUCUUGGAUCACUCUUGUACCCCUUGACUGACUCAUGGCAAGGCACACUUUAGGUGCGGUACACAACAUAGCAUACUGAAGAGCCUACGUCUUAAGCAUAGGGGACGACCUUCGUCCUUUCUCUCUAUUCUGCCGUGGUCGAGCUUUAAGUCUUAACUUCGUACCUUACAACUUAGGCAAGAACUCCUUCUUUGACUGGUCCAUCUUGAACACCUUCAAGAUCAUGUCAAGGUAUGUGCUCAUUUGAAAGUACCAUUAAGCGUUUUGAUCUAUCCUUAUAGAUCUUGAUGCUUAAUGCUCAAGUAGCUUAAUCCAGGUUUUCUAUUGAAAAACACCUUUCAAAUAACCCUAUAUGCUUUCUAGAAAUUCUACAUCAUCUCUGAUCAUCAAUAUGUCAACAACAUAUACUCAUCAGAAAUUCUAUAGUGCUCCCACUCACUUCUUUGGAAAUACAAGUUUCUCAUAAACUUUGUAUAGACCCAAAAUCUUUGAUCAUCAUCAAAGCAUACAUUCCAACUCCGAGAUGCUCACUCCAGUCCUUAGAAGGAUCGCUGGAGCUAGCAUACCUUUUAGCAUCCUUAGGAUCGACAAAAACUUUCUGAUUGUAUUAUAUACAACCUUUCCUCACGAAAACUGGUAAGGAAACUCGUUUUGAUAUCCAUCUGCCAGAUUUCAUAAAUACAGCUAAUGCUAACAUGAAUCCGACGGACUUUAAGCAUCGCUACGGAUGAGAAAAUCUCAUCGUAGUCAACUCCUUGAACUUGUGAAAAACUUUUCGCCACAAGUCGAGCUUCAUGGACGGUGACAUUACCAUCCACGUCCGUCUUCUUCUUAAAGAUCCAUUUAUCUCAAUGGAUUGCCAAUCAUCGGGCAAGUCCAUCAAAGUCCAUGCUUUGUUCUGAUAUAUGGAUACUAUCUCGGAUUUCAUGGCUUCUAACCAUUUGUCGGAAUUUGGGCCCACCAUCGCUUCUCCAUAGCUCGUAGGUUCAUUGUUGUCUAGCAACAUGACCUUCAAGACAGGAUUACGUACCACUCUGAAGUAGUACGCAUCCUUGUCAUCCUACGAGGUUUGGGAGUGACUUGAUCCGAAGUUUCAUGAUCAAUAUCAUAAGCUUCCACUGCAAUUGGUGUAGGUGCCACAGGAACAACUCCCUGUGCCCUGUCACACACUAGUUGAAGAGACGGUUCAAUAACCUCAUCAAGUCUCCACCAUCCUCCCACUCAAUUCUUUCGAGAGAAACUUUUCCUCGAGAAAGGACCUGAUUCUCGAAACAAUCCCUUAUUGCUUUCGGGUCUGAGACAGGAGGUUUACCCAACUGUUUUGGGUGUCCUAUGAAGAUGCAUUUUAUCCACUUUGGGUUCGAGCUUAUCAACCUGAAACUUUUUCAUAUAAGCGUUGCAGCCCCAAACUUUUAAGAAACGACAACUUAGGUUUCUCUAAACCAUAAUUCAUACGGUGUCAUCUCAUCGGAAUUACGUGGUGCCCUAUUUAAAGUGAAUGUGGUUGUCUCUAAUGCCUAACCCAUGAACGAUAGUGGUAAUUCGAUAAGAGACAUCAUGGUACGCACCAUAUCCAAUAGGGUGCAACUAUGAUGUUCGGACACACCAUCACAUUAUGGUGUUCCAGGCGGUAUUGAUUGCGAAACAUUUUCCACAAUGUCUUAAUUGUGUGCCAAAACUCGUAACUCAGAUAUUCAUCUCUAUGAUCGUAUCAUAGACAUUUUAUCCUCUUGUCACAAUGAUCUUCUACUUCACUCUGAAAUUACUUGAACCAUUCAAUAAUUCAGACUUGUGUUUCAUCAAGUAAAUAUUCUCAACAUCUACUCGAAUCAUCUGUAAUGUAAGAACAUAACGAUAUUCACUGCAUGCCUCAGCACUUAUUGGACUGCACACAUCAAAAUGUGUUACUUCCAACAAGUUGCUAUCUUGUUCCAUCUCAUUGAAACCGAGGCUUUUCAGUCAUCUUGCCCAUGUGGUAUGAUUUGCAUAUCUCAAGUGAUUCAAAAUCAAGUGAGUCCGAACGAUCCAUUUGCAUGGAGUUUCUUCAUGCAUAUACACCAAUAGACAUGGUUCGCAUGUCUCAAACUUUUCAAAAACGAGUGAGUCCAAAGAUCCAUCAACAUGGAGCUUCUUCAUGCGUUUUAUACCAUUAUGACUUACAUGGCAGUGCCACAAGUAAGUGGUACUAUCAUUACUAUCUUAUAUCUUUUGGCAUGAAAAUGUGUAUCACUAUGACCGAGAUUCAAUAAACCAUUCCUUUAGGUGCAAGACCAUUGAAGGUAUUAUUCAAAAAUUAGAGUAACCAUUAUUCUCCUUAAAUGAAUAACCGUAUUGCUAUAGACAUAAUCCAAUCAUGUCUAUGCUCAACGCAAGCACCAAAUGACAAUUAUUCAGGUUUAAUACUAAUCUUGAUGGUAGAGGGAGCGUGCGAUGUUUGAUCACAUCAAACUUGGAAACACUUCCAACACAUAUCGUCAGCUCACCUUUAGCCAGUC